rnacentral:rRNA from 1 species
GAUGAACGCUGGCGGCAUACCUUACACAUGUAAGUCGAACGGUAACAGGUCUUCGGAUGCUGACGAGUGGCGAACGGGUGAGUAAUACAUCGGAACGUGCCUAGUAGUGGGGGAUAACUACUCGAAAGAGUGGCUAAUACCGCAUGAGAUCUACGGAUGAAAGCAGGGGAUCGCAAGACCUUGUGCUACUAGAGCGGCCGAUGGCAGAUUAGGUAGUUGGUGGGAUAAAUGCUUACCAAGCCGACGAUCUGUAGCUGGUCUGAGAGGACGAUCAGCCACACUGGGACUGAGACACGGCCCAGACUCCUACGGGAGGCAGCAGUGGGGAAUUUUGGACAAUGGGCGCAAGCCUGAUCCAGCAAUGCCGCGUGCAGGAUGAAGGCCUUCGGGUUGUAAACUGCUUUUGUACGGAACGAAAAGCCCUGGGUUAAUACCCUGGGGUCAUGACGGUACCGUAAGAAUAAGCACCGGCUAACUACGUGCCAGCCGCCGCGGUAA